AACCCUAACCCUAAAAGCCCAUGCUCAUGUUACAGGCCUUUAGCCCAAAAUACUUGACAGGAAAAACUAAGAAUAAAUAACUGACUUAAUUAAAAAGAAAAAGAAAAGAAAACAGAUGCCACGGUCUAUCAUUAUGAGAAUUGUGGAAAUGGAUUUCGAAUUGCUUGUUUUGUGGAAAUGGAUUUGGAAUUGUGGAAAUGAAUUUCGAAAUGUAUAAACAAUAAGCUCUCAAAUGAGGAAAAGGAUUCC
rnacentral:lncRNA from 1 species